CAGCCGCCGCGGUAAUACGGAGGGUGCAAGCGUUAUCCGGAUUUAUUGGGUUUAAAGGGUCCGUAGGCGGACUUAUAAGUCAGUGGUGAAAGCCUGUCGCUUAACGAUAGAACUGCCAUUGAUACUGUAAGUCUUGAGUAUAUUUGAGGUAGCUGGAAUAAGUAGUGUAGCGGUGAAAUGCAUAGAUAUUACUUAGAACACCAAUUGCGAAGGCAGGUUACCAAGAUAUAACUGACGCUGAGGGACGAAAGCGUGGGUAGCGAACAGGAUUAGAGACCCCGGUAGUCCCUGUCUCUUAUAC
rnacentral:rRNA from 1 species